rnacentral:tRNA from 1 species
UCCCAGGUGGCUCAGUGGUAAAGCAUCUGCCUACCAGUGCAGAAGAUGCAGGUUCAAUCCCUGGAUUGGGAA